AAGGAAAUGCCUUAGCUGUAGACAUCAUUUAUGGAACCUUAUAAAUAGAGCUCACAUUCAAAGAUUUUCAGCUUGUGCUCCUGUCUCUAAGUUACCUGCCAGAGGACACUGGGAAAAGUGUCAGCACCGUGAGAAGUACAGAUGAAAACACUGCCUAUGCAGUGGUGCAGGAGAUGAUAAAUCACAUGCCAAGCUCACCCCUGAACUGCCUCAGGAAGGGAAGCAAGAAAAUGUGUAACAAUGAAUGAAGAAAAGGAACUCUGGCAGCGAAAGGAGGCUUGGCAUAUCGCUCAGUGGUAGACCACAUCUAGCACACAUGAGGUCGUGGGUUCAAUCCCUAGAACAGUAAACACAGAAACCAAAAAAGACAGGGGACUGGAGUGACACUUUUGGAUUUUUGGUUUCAUUACAGAACACAGAAAUAGUAUGAGAUUGUGCUUUCAUUUUAAUCCCUGGUGUGGGAUGUGGGGCUGCUUCAGAUUGUCCAUAGCAGCUGACUAUGAUGGGCUGUCUCAGGAGUAUGAUUUUGCCAGCGGCAAAUAGUUUCCACGAUUGUGUGAUGUUUGGAAUUCUGGGGACCUUUCGGAGAUUAUAUACAUGCUAGGGCUCUGAGAGGCUGCAUGGGUUGUUGGUUAGUUGUUGUUGGUCCAGUUUGCAAAGUAGCCAUGCACAAAGAAGAAACUACAACAAGAAGAAAUUAGAUAUUCUGGUGGGAAAGACCAAACUUGGCGCAAGGAACUCAAUGCACCUAAUCAGCAGGAAGUAGUCUAACAUUGCUCCUUUCCAACCCCUGACAGUAUUUAGGGAUAUUGUUCAUUUCAUCUCUAACCCCCCUUUUUUCUGUCUUAUUUAGUGUUAGGACAUUGAAAGGGUAGAAGAAAAUGGGUGGGAGAAACAAAAAGAACCCAUAAAGUAUCAAAAGACAGAUGCAAGGGACUAAUGCUAUGGUUUACCUUUGAGCAGGUGUCAGAUCAUCUGACUUUAGCUUCCUACUCAACUUAUUCUUUGAUAAAGCAGGCUCUCCAUGUAAUAUUACCCACACAAUUGGCUCCUGGAAGUGCCUUGCUAUGUGCACUUCCAAUUGCUGUCAGCAUUUUGGCUAUAUUCAUCACCAGCAAAAAAAAAAAAAAAAAAAAAAAAAAUUCCUAAUUUCAAUCAACCAAUCAUAAAUCAACCCAUUCAUUCACAGAUUUGUUCAAGAACUUACAACAUGAUGAAUGCAUCAUUCCUUUAUUCCUUUAAAGGGAAGGCCAGAGAUCGUUAACAUGAAAGUAAACUGAAAUACUUCCUUGUUCCUCUUGAAUUUCUUCACUUCUCUCAUGAGGUAUUGUGACAUUCCUUUCCUCUGCCUCUCUCUUGCUCAUUCUUUAGAAAUAACUUAGAAGUAUUCCUUUUGAAUCCUUGCUCACCUUGAAAACCUUGCUUCAUGUUUCCAAAUAACUUAAGAAAUGCCGUGCUUCUUUUAGAUCUCACAUUUGCUCUUUGUGUGGUUGGUUUUUAAUCUUGAUUUAUUUAAAAAAAAAAAAAAAAGAAGAAGAAGCAUUUUCAGCAUUUAAAUUACGCUUUUUGUGGCAUACUUGGAAAAGGCAGGUAAGUUGAAUAAAAUAAAAGGUUAGCCAUAGUUUCACUACUCAAAUAUAGCUGUUGUUACUAUCUUGAUGUUUUCUUCCAGGUACUCUCCUUUUGAAAUGCAGGCAUUUAUAAUUUAUGCUGUAACAACAACAACAACAACAACAAUAACAACAAAAUCAUAUUGUAUAGAUGUCCUAGCCUGGUUUCUAAUGCUGUGAUAAAGACCAUGACCAAAAGUAACAUGGGGAGGAAAUGGUUCACUUGGCUUACAAAUUACAGGUCAUUACCAAGGGAAACCAGGCAGGACCUUAAGGCAGGAACUGAAGCAGCAGCCACUGGGGAUGCUACUCACUGACUUGCUCUUCAUGCUUUCUCUACCUGAUUUUUUUUAUACAACCCAGGAUGCCUGUCCAGAGUUGUACCAUCCACAAUGGGCUGGGAACCUCCCAUAUCAAUUGGUAAUAUUGUCCAGUGAAGUUUUCUCUUCCCAGAAGAGGGAAACAAAAACUGACCAGCACAUUAGAUUGGCUAAAUUUUUACAGUUAUUUUUUGCCUAAAUUUUAUAUCUUCUUUUCUGACAGCCAAGCUUUGUAGAUAACUCAGUUUUAUUUUGUAUCUAAAUUGAUCAUACCCUCUAAAGAACAGCACUUAAUGCAAUACUUUUUAUUUGUACAUUCUUUAAGUGGUUUUAUUUGGAUCCUUACGUAGCCCGAUGGGUCAGAUGACUUUCACAUCAAUUUUAUACAUAAGGUACCUGCAUCUCUGUCACAGCAUAAUGUCAUCCUUCAGCACCUAAGUGGGCUGUAGUGAUGCAAUGGCUUGAUACUGCACUAAUAUCUGAAUUUACUGUCUAUCUACAUAUUAACAGCAGCUGUAUUUGUAUGGCAAAAAUAUGGAUGGCUUUUUAAAAACUCACCGUUGGCAUUUGUCAAAACAAUGUUACAAGAUGCAUAUCUUAGCUUUGGGAUCAUAAUGUUUUGGGGAGCUUAAAUACAGGAUCAAUUUUCUUUCCUUGUUUCUUUUAAAAACUAUAGAUUUGAUUCUUGUCUGAUUAUUUCUAAUGUUAAAAAUAAAUUGUUAAUUUUUU
ensembl:lincRNA 3110099E03Rik RIKEN cDNA 3110099E03 gene